rnacentral:lncRNA from 1 species
CUUGGGGCUGCUGCUCUGCAGGCGCGUGCCGGCGUAGCGACGCACGUACGGGUGGCGCUGCUCGGCGCGCCGUGCGGAUGGCCGACGGGCCGACGGCGCGGGCGACACGAGCGACAGAAAAGAGGCGCGCGGCCCGCGGGGUCUGGCGGUGCGGCUCCUCGUUCCCGCAGCGUCGCCAUUGGCCUGUUCGCCGUCGCUGCCCUCAAUGUCGCUUCCGGCCGAUCCAACAUCGCCGUCUUCUUCAUUGUCGCUCAACCCGUUGGCAUAGGCGACGGCGUCGAGACCUUGCGCUCCAUCAUCGUCGGCGGCUUCCUGGUAGAGCACCGCCGUGCCACGACGCCGCACUGACCGCCUGCCGUUAUUGUUGUUGUCGCCGAUGGCGGCGCCAAAAGCGUCGACGAGUGACAUGGCCGGUCGUGUUGUAUGCCAAAAUCGAGGGGUGCGGAUGAGGCUCUUUUGGCGGGGUUUGUCGUUGCCCCUUGUUGGUUCCUUGUUGUUGUGGUUCUUCUCGGGAGGAAACCGUCCUUUUGUUACUCUUUAGGCGUGAGACUUGCUCAGAGACACAGCACGGCGCACAAAAACAGGGAUGAUGGCGCGGGGCGACAGAGCAGACGGACCGUGCUUUCCCUUUGGCGCGCGCGCCAAUCUCUCGCUGGAGCAGACGACCCCGCGGGGACCUGCGACCGUCGCCGCCGCCGCUGGCCCUCGCACCCCCACGACAUGUGCCCGAGCCGAGUCGACUGGCAGGCGUUGGAGGAAAAAAAAAAGAGGCGCAAAGACCGCAGGGUUUGGAAUCGGUAUGCCGUCGCCGGCAAGGCAAGUCGAGCGCGACCGCUCCACGUCCCCAAAAACAAUUUCGGCCAAAAUAGUGGCCCAUCGAAUAAACAAUAGAUUGCGGUCCAUAUGCGAAAUCCAGUGCAGCCACGACAAGAGCAUGUCCCCCCC